rfam:Asian citrus Psyllid, Diaphorina citri - Florida Strain, whole genome shotgun sequence.
GCCUAUAUAGCUUGGUUAGUAGAGAGUCUGGCUUGUAAACGCUAGGCCGCGGGUUCGAUUCCCGCCGUGAGCU